GCCUCCGUGGUCCAGUGGGUAGAGCGUUGGACACAAGAUCCGGAGGUCCCGGGUUCAAAUCCCGGUGGGGACA
rnacentral:tRNA from 1 species